UAUUGAAACCUCAAGAAGAAUAUUCUCAGUCUGUUGUACCCAAGUAUAUUUCUUUUCCAGAGUUCAGAAACUACAUUUAUCUAUUUAUAUAAAGGAAUUUUCACUUAAACUAUAAAGGCCAUUUAAUAUGUUACGAGAGCAAGUACAGGUCAUGAGCAGUGGCGGAUCUAAAAUUUUUAUCAAGGAGAUUUUCUCAAUAAAAUUGUUGUUGAUCGUUCAGGAGAUAGACAAGUUGCAUGGGGCUUCGGUUCAUCCCGUUUUUCAUGUGUUCAUGCUCAAAAAGUGUGUGGGUGAUCCUUCCUUAAUGGUGCCAGUUGAGGAUAUCGGCGUUAAGGACUCGUUGUCCUAUGAGGAAGUCUCGAUUGAAAUCUUGGAUAGGCAAGUUUUGAAAUUGAGAGCUAAGGAAAAAACUUGUGUGAAGGUUGUUUUUGAGGAACCAAAAGGUAUGCUUCAUGGGAAUCGGAAGAGUAUAUGAAAGCUAAAUACCCGUUCUUGUUUUCAAUGUUGGACGAAAGUUCUUAAGAUAUUAUCGUGGAAGGUGAAACUAGUGGGUGACGAUUAUAAGGAUUUUAUUGAUGAGGUGAGCCUUUGCCUUAUUCGUGGAGGCUUUCGUUUCAGCUUUAGCCCUUUAGCUUAUAUUUCUUUUCAUUGAGUUUGCAUGCCCGGAAGUUGAAUUCAUGUAACUCUAUUUUAGAUGCUUCAUGAUCUUAGAUUGAGCUUCGGGAUAGAAAAUUAAUUCACGAGUAAUUGUUGAAUUUAUAGUUUGAUUAUGAAUUUUUGUUGAAUUGCUAUUCGUUAUAUAUUGAUGCAUUGGAAUU